CGGAGGGCGGAGAUCGGCUUCAUCCGCAGCGCCUGCAUUUAGUUGUCGCAGCGUGGCCACAAAGUUACCCCGGGUACCCAGAAAAACAAAACCACCGCCCCACGCACACAUCCUCAGUUACUCUGGCUGCCCUGUGAGGAGUGGUUUGCAGAGUGGCAAGACUACAAGCAAGUCUAACAAGGAGGCUAUUACAGCACUGCAGUCAAGAGAUGAUGGGGAUGACAUCAUGGUGGCAGUGGAGAUGGAGAGAAGAAGAGAGAGCCCAGAUGGAUUAUGAAAGCAGAAAUAAUGACUCAACUUGCUGACGGAUUGAUUGGAUGUAGGAGUUGAGAGAGAGGAAGAUGAUUCAGAGAUGGGAUCUUGCUAUGUUGCCCAGGAUUGAUGGCAUUCUGAUCAGCAAUGGAAGAGCUUUGAAUACCUCUUGGAGUAGACUGUUGAAAUUAGUAAACUAAGCAUGUAUUUUACAUUUUGAAUAGAUAAAACUUUCACAUCAUUCAAAAUAUAAAAGGUAUAAGAGUAUAGAGUAAAAAGUUUCCCUUUUACGUCUCUUCUCCAGCUGCUCAACACCCGUUCCCUGAAGGAAUCCAUUCAAUUAUUUUACAAUAUUUUAUCCAUAUUUUAUGGAUGUAGUAAAUAGGAUUCUUUUUUAAAAAUAAGUUUUAUUGUAUAUACUGAAGGUAUACAACAGGAUGUUAUGUGAUACAUAUAAUAGUAAAAAGGUUACUAUA